UACAGAGGGUGCAAGCAUUGUCCGGAUUUAUUGGGCGUAAAGCGUUUCGUAGGCGGCUUUAAAAGUUAUUUUUCAAAGUCCAGGGCUCAACUCUGGGAAGGGAAAUAAUACUGUAAGGCUUGAAGGAUAUCGGGGCUACUGGAACUUGCGGUGUAGGGGUGAAAUCCGUUGAUAUCGCAAGGAACACCAAGGGCGAAGGCAGGUAGCUAGGUAUAUCUUGACGCUGAGGAACGACAGCUAGGGGAGCGAAAGGG
rnacentral:rRNA from 1 species